CUCGAGUCGGCCAGUCCGUCCACGCUAUUUAUUGCGGGGGCUGGGGUCGGGGAGAUGGAAGUGCUCGACGGUGUCCUUGCCCUCGAGGAGAGAGGAGGCAGAAGAGACGCACACACGCGGCGGGAAGCGCUCGGUAAACGCGACCGACUGAGGAGAAGGGCGAGAUGAAUGGGAUGAUCCAGGCGGGGCCGGAACAGGGCCCGGAGAGGGGCGCUCUGAGCUCGCUGUGGGCCGGGAACGGGACGUGACUACCGCGCCCGCUGCACUGUGCUCUCCCAAGCGCUCGAUCCCUAACACCGACGGACUGUUGAUGGACGGGGAGCUUCCGCUCUAAGCCGCGACUACAAAAUAUCUCCCGGCCCCUCGGACUGAGUCAGCGGCCGAUUCAGAUCCGACGACGACUCUCCCCUCCUUCAAAGCUUUAUCCAAGGCCCAUCUCCUCCGAGAGGCCUUCCCAGACUACGCCUCGCUCUUCCUCAUCUCCCACUCCCUUCCGCGUCGCCCUGACUGGCUCCCUUUGCUCUCCCCCCGCCUCCUGUCCGUAUCUGUAAUUUUAUUUCUUUGUAUUUUUGUCUGCCUGCCCCGGUCUAGACUGUGAUCGCGUCGUGGGCAGGGAAUGUGACUGUUUAUUGCUGCGCUGUACUCUCCCAAGCGCGGAGUACCGUGCUCUACGCACAGAAAGCGCUCAAUAAAUACGACGUACUGGACGAACGCUUCCCAGGGUCACUGCGGUCGAGUGGCCGGCUCUGUCACCUCGCCCCCGCCCAAGCCAGCUCCACGUCCACCGGGCCGGCGAAGACACCCCGGCCCACUUUCCGGACGCUCCACCUCCGUCUGGCAGUGCCCGGAAAGGGCCUGCGAUGCCCGCCCUUACUCGGGUAUCCCGCGGGGAGCGAGGAGCUCCAUUUCAAAAAGCCAAACGGUAAGAAGAGCGAGAAA